rnacentral:lncRNA from 1 species
GCAGGAUGUGGAUUAUGAUUGGAAACCUGUGUAUUGUGAGAAAUGUUUGGAGGUUGGACACACCUGUUUGGCUAAAUCUGCUCAACCUACACAGAAAAACAAGGUGACACAGGAAUGGAUAGUGAAAGCACCAGUCACAGUGGUCCAGAAUAACCAGAUGGAUCAAAUCCAGUGCCAAGAGUUACCAAAGGAGACAAGUACUCUAGCUACUGCUGAUGGUGG